rnacentral:rRNA from 1 species
UACGUAGGGUCCGAGCGUUGUCCGGAAUUAUUGGGCGUAAAGGGCUCGUAGGCGGUCUGUUGCGUCGGGAGUGAAAACUUACAGCUUAACUGUGAGCGUGCUUUCGAUACGGGCAGACUUGAGGCAUUCAGGGGAGAACGGAAUUCCUGGUGUAGCGGUGAAAUGCGCAGAUAGUCAGGAGGAACACCGGUGGCGAAAGGCGGUUCUCUGGGGAAUGUCCUGACGCUGAGGAGCGAAAGUGUGGGGGAGCGAACAGG